CCAUUGUGUCGAGUGGUUACUUUCACUCCAUCACACAAUGGAGCUGAUGAUAUCGAACACAGAACCUCAUGUGUACCACUCUCAACGCCGGAUUUUAAACCGGUAAACUUGAUUAUGAAAAAAAUAAAAUCAGUUUAAUUUUGAUACA